rnacentral:rRNA from 1 species
CCCCUUCUGNCUCGNAUCCGAGGGGGGCUCGCGNUUUCACACAAACUUGANGCAGUGNAGAAUGUCUUUUUUCUUUUGCGAUCACNCGCAAUCAAUACAACUUUCAACAACGGAUCUCUUGGUCUCUCGCAUCGAUGAAGAACGCAGCGAAAUGCGAUACGUAAUGUGAAUUGCAGAAUUCAGUGAAUCAUCGAAUCUUUGAACGCACCUUGCGCCCCUUGUCAUUCCGAGGGGCACACCCGUUUGUAGUGNCGAGAAAUUCUCAAAACCCUUUCUUUUUGGUCUUUCGAUCGAAGAAAGGCUUUUGGACUUGGAGGCUUUUUGACUGUGCUUCACCUUGAAGCGAGCUCCUCCUAAAUGAAUCAGUGGUGAUCCGCUUUGCUGAUCCUUGACGUCGAUAAGAUGUUUCUACGUCUUGGGUUUUGGCACUGUCCCUUGGGCACCUGCUUCAAACCGUCUCAUUGACAACGAUGGUGUUCCGGUCACCGCCGCUUCGUCGGCGANAGGCUUGACCCACAAAUGAACCUUGACCUCAAAUCGGGUGAGACUACCCGCUGAACUUAAGCAUAUCAAUAAGCGGAGGAA